GGGGACCAUCCUCCAAGGCUAAAUACUCCUGACUGACCGAUAGUGAACCAGUACCGUGAGGGAAAGGCGAAAAGAACCCCGGCGAGGGGAGUGAAAAAGAACCUGAAACCGUGUACGUACAAGCAGUGGGAGCACAGAGCAAUCUGUGUGACUGCGUACCUUUUGUAUAAUGGGUCAGCGACUUAUAUUCUGUAGCAAGGUUAACCGAAUAGGGGAGCCGAAGGGAAACCGAGUCUUAACUGGGCGUUAAGUUGCAGGGUAUAGACCCGAAACCCGGUGAUCUAGCCAUGGGCAGGUUGAAGGUUGGGUAACACUAACUGGAGGACCGAACCGACUAAUGUUGAAAAAUUAGCGGAUGACUUGUGGCUGGGGGUGAAAGGCCAAUCAAACCGGGAGAUAGCUGGUUCUCCCCGAAAGCUAUUUAGGUAGCGCCUCGUGAAUUCAUCUCCGGGGGUAGAGCACUGUUUCGGCAAGGGGGUCAUCCCGACUUACCAACCCGAUGCAAACUGCGAAUACCGGAGAAUGUUAUCACGGGAGACACACGGCGGGUGCUAACGUCCGUCGUGAAGAGGGAAACAACCCAGACCGCCAGCUAAGGUCCCAAAGUCAUGGUUAAGUGGGAAACGAUGUGGGAAGGCCCAGACAGCCAGGAUGUUGGCUUAGAAGCAGCCAUCAUUUAAAGAAAGCGUAAUAGCUCACUGGUCGAGUCGGCCUGCGCGGAAGAUGUAACGGGGCUAAACCAUGCACCGAAGCUGCGGCAGCGACGCUUAUGCGUUGUUGGGUA
rnacentral:rRNA from 1 species